UCUCUCUCUCUCACUAUAACCAACCAGGAACCCACUCUCUCUAAAGCCGAGGCAUGCUCCCCUACCUCUCUCUCUAAUGGUGGCACGAAUAGUAAUCAACCCAUUCUCUUUGAAACUAGGGCACAUGGAAAGCUAUUCUAUUUCUUCGAAACCAAAGAUACUCUUUUUCUCCCUCUUUUAUUUGUAACAGAGCCAAUACUUCUCCCACUUGUCGUUCUUUCUCACUCCCUGCAAUCAUUCAUCUCCUCUCUCUAUCUCCAUUCUCACUCUCUUUCUGAAACCUUGGACCCCUUUUCUUCCACUCUGUCUCUGUCUCCUUUCAUAGCCUUUGGCCAUAUCUCCACAAGAUAAAUUUUCAAAACCUUGCCCCACCAUUGACUUCUCCAAAUCUCUCCUUGCCUCCAAUCAAACCCCCAAAUUUCUCCUUCUAAAAUCCCAAAAUAUCUCACAGAAAACCCCAAAUCUCUUCCUCCUUUGAUAUCUAGAAACCCACAAGAACCCUAAUCUCUUCCUCCUUUGAUAUCUAGAAACCCACAAGAACCCUAAAGCAUGGAUAAUGAAAACCCUCCCAGAUCUCUAAUAAAAGUCUAGAUUGAAUGGUAGGGAGCUGCAAGUUUAAGAAACUUGAGUUGGGAGUUGCAUAUUCAAGAAGGUUUCUUUGAUUCAGUUUGGGCUACAUUUUUAUGAUGAACCAUGAGAUAGUGGCUUAUGACUCGAUAGAAUCUCCAGUUUACUUUGUUUGAAGUGGUGGCAUUGAGGACUCGAGAAAUUUUUCCAUUAUUCAUUUUUAGAGGUAGUGGCAUUGAGGACUCAAGGAACUUUGUUGAGGCAGUGUCCACCGGAGAGCAUUAUUUUGUGGUUAUCAAACAUGGCCAAAAGAGGAGGAUCACUUUGGAAGAUAAAAAAUUGAGCAAAAAUAAAUAGCGACAUACGGUCAUGUAGGCAAAAACGAGUAAGAUGACACAUUUUUGCCCCCUUGCACGUAUAUAAUUCUACUUAUUGAUGUGAAGAAGGCGAAAUGCAGGAUAAGUUGGUCAUAUGAAAACUAGUAGAUUCUUGUUUUACUUGUAAAAAUGAUGUAUUACUUGUUGUUUUAGGCCAUGUACCAUUGGCAUUAACGGUAAUGUAAGACUAGUAGAUUCUCAUCAUAUGUUGUAAUGGGAUUUUGAGUUGGGUUUUU